rnacentral:tRNA from 1 species
UGGCUCAGUGGCAGAGAAUCUGCCUGCCAAGCAGGGGAUGCAGAUUCAAUCUCUGU